UCAUAGCAGCAGAGUGCCUGUCAGGAAGGAGUCGGCCUUGCCACCCUCCUCUCCAUGUGAGGAAGCUGUAAGCAGAAGAGGCAGAGAACCCUUGGCAUGGGGUGGUGCCAUCUGGAGUUCUUGAGAAGGGGGAAAGGGUUUGCUAUGUGCAGUGUUCACAGCCUGCUGAUCUGCAUACAUCUGCAGCAUCCCCGGAAGGAUCCCCGGGAGGGAACAACAGAGGGAAAGCUGCUCAGCGACAGUUUUUCCUACUCCCAAGCUUUCUAUAGUGGGUAUAGAGAUGUUUAACCUCCACUGUCAAUUUGACUGCAUUUAGAAUCACCAUGGGAACCUAUCUCUGGGUGUGUCUAUUAGGGUGUUUUCCAGAGAGGUUUAACUGUGGGUAGCAUCAUCCCAAGGGCUGGAUGUUGCAGACUGAAUGACGGAGAAAGCUGUGCAUCAACGUUCGUUCUAUUCCCAGACUGCAGAAGCAAUGCGACCGGCUGCCUUCCCCGCUGCUGCUCUGCCUUGACCGCUACAAUGGACGGCACCAUGAGCUGAGAGACCCUUCCUUCCAAUUGCUCUUGUCGGGCAUAUUGUCAUAACAGCGAGAGAAGGAAUUCUACAGGAAGCUAUCUACGCGCACCAUUCUCCUGGAAUAGGUCCAGUCACCACUGGGUGAAUGACUUCGCUGACAGGGCAAACUCCCGGCUGGUUCUUUGAUUGGCUAACGAUCACCAUCCCAGUGCAAAACCCUGGAAGAGGAAGGCAGCUUUACUUGAGAGGACUCACAGAGGCUUCAAGCUUCUUCUCCUGGACCCUGACUCUUGAUCGGUUGUUUGUGCAAAUGCUGGACGAUCCUAACCACGGCGGGGGCCAGGAGAGAAGGCUGGAGGCCGAGGGGCACCGGGCCACAGCUCAUGCUGGCUCAGCCUGCCUUUUCUGCUGGAAUGGAUACCGUCUGUGGCUGCAUAACUCUCCAGUUGCCUCAAGAAAACCCUCCACCCUCAGGUCACGGGGUGUUUCCAUCUUCCACCCAGCCUGCCUCACCUCUGUCCUGCUCUCCGUCCUCAGUCAGGGCCUCCCAUGGGGCACAGGGACUGCACAGGCUUCAUCAAGCCGCUCUCUGUGACUGCAGUGUACACCCAGGACAAGAGACUUAACAAGAGAAGAGGGUUACGCUGGCUCGUAGUUUCAGUUCAGGACAGGUCACAGGUCAUCCUGUGGCACAGCAGGACAGAAGUGUGUGGCGACUGUCCACCUCAGGGCCAGCUCACAGGAGAGAAGGACGAGGAUACUACAACCCACGAUUUCCUUCAAGGAAGCAUCUCCAGUGACUGAAGAAGCCCUAUCAGGCUCCACUGCUGAAACUUUCCACCAGCACCAAGUCGGGGACCCAGUCUUUAAAACGUGGGUCACUGGGGAAUAGUCCAGAUACAGACCAUGGCAGAAGGGGAAGGGAAUGUGUGCGGCAAAGGCGCAGGUGACACAGGGCAAGGCUCACAAGCAAAUACAGAACGUGUGGUCAAUGUAGGGGCGCAGGGAGGACCUCACUAGAAUAAAAUAAAUGCCCCUCUUCUCCCUGAUGGGAGAUCCGUUUCCUGGUGCCCUGCAGCACUUCCUGUUGCUUGCAGAGUCCUGCCUCACACUCUAAUGAGUCCACCAGCUCCUCGGGCACCUAUACCUCAGAUGGAGGGACGGGUGGUCAGACGACGGUUAAGUACUUACGCACCUCUUUGUGUCAAGUACACAGAACAAGUUCAUAAACCCUGACUUCACCUUCCAGACUCCUUCAUCUAAAUCGAGAUGUCACCAAGGGAUAGGAUCAAAGCUGCAAAACCACAAAAAGCCGUGUGAACUUUCUCAGAAAGAGGGGCUCCACAGGCAUGCCUACGGGAAGAGAGUCUGGAGGUGCCAAGUGCCUGGAAAGGGCAGGAAGAGGAGCUGAGGAACAGUGAAGGGUGCGCAGAGGGGCGCUGGGUCUGGAACUCUGAGUGGCUCUAUACUGGGUGGCCCUGGGCAGGCAGCUUUUGACCCAAGCUGGCAGAAAGAGAGGGACAAAGAUCAAUUGUCACCAAGUGGGUGCUGGCGUCUCAGUGGUUAUUUGGGAUGGCUGUUAGGCUGGUGAGGACAUUCCUGGGUGAUUUUCUGUUUGAAUACUGGUGUCACCAUUAGUAAAUCAAGGGGCAAGAGGGACAGCAUUGCUUCACGUCUCCAUUUUACAACCUUUUGAUGUUGGGACGGCUCAUGCUCAGUAACCACACUGUCAAAGCCACAAAAUAAAAUCAUAAAAGAGU